AGAGUUUGAUCAUGGCUCAGAUUGAACGCUGGCGGCAGGCUUAACACAUGCAAGUCGAACGAUGAAGUCUAGCUUGCUAGACGGAUUAGUGGCGAACGGGUGAGUAAUGCUUAGGAAUCUGCCUAUUAGUGGGGGAUAACGUAGGGAAACUUACGCUAAUACCGCAUACGACCUACGGGUGAAAGGGGGCUUUUAGCUCUCGCUAAUAGAUGAGCCUAAGUCGGAUUAGCUAGUUGGUGGGGUAAAGGCCUACCAAGGCGACGAUCUGUAGCUGGUCUGAGAGGAUGAUCAGCCACACUGGGACUGAGACACGGCCCAGACUCCUACGGGAGGCAGCAGUGGGGAAUAUUGGACAAUGGGCGAAAGCCUGAUCCAGCCAUGCCGCGUGUGUGAAGAAGGCCUUUUGGUUGUAAAGCACUUUAGGUGGGGAGGAAAAGCUUGUGGUUAAUACCCAUAAGCCCUGACGUUACCCACAGAAUAAGCACCGGCUAACUCUGUGCCAGCAGCCGCGGUAAUACAGAGGGUGCAAGCGUUAAUCGGAAUUACUGGGCGUAAAGCGCGCGUAGGUGGUUAUUUAAGUCAGAUGUGAAAGCCCCGGGCUUAACCUGGGAACUGCAUCUGAUACUGGAUAACUAGAGUAGGUGAGAGGGGAGUAGAAUUCCAGGUGUAGCGGUGAAAUGCGUAGAGAUCUGGAGGAAUACCGAUGGCGAAGGCAGCUUCCUGGCAUCAUACUGACACUGAGGUUCGAAAGCGUGGGUAGCAAACAGGAUUAGAUACCCUGGUAGUCCACGCCGUAAACGAUGUCUACCAGUCGUUGGGUCUUUUAAAGACUUAGUGACGCAGUUAACGCAAUAAGUAGACCGCCUGGGGAGUACGGCCGCAAGGUUAAAACUCAAAUGAAUUGACGGGGGCCCGCACAAGCGGUGGAGCAUGUGGUUUAAUUCGAUGCAACGCGAAGAACCUUACCUGGUCUUGACAUAGUGAGAAUCUUGCAGAGAUGCGAGAGUGCCUUCGGGAAUUCACAUACAGGAGAUCGGAA
rnacentral:rRNA from 1 species